AUGACGAACACAAAGGGAAAGAGGUGAGGCACCUGAUACAUGUUCUCUAGGCCUUUUAGAAAAGAUGGAGUUGUUCCUUUGGCCACAUACAUGCGAAUCUACGAAAAAGGUGAUAUUGUAGACAUCAAGGGAAUGGCUGCUUUUCAAAAAGGAGUGCUCCGCAAAUGUUACCACAGCAAAGCUGGAAGAGUCUACAGUGUUACCCAGCAUGCUGUUGGCAUUGUAAACAAGGGCAAGAUUUUUGCCAAGAGAAUGAAUGUGCUUACUGAGCCAGGCUGGUCUUGAACUCCUGACCUCAGUUGAUCCAUCUGCCUGGGCCUUGGCACUCUAAGAGCCAAGUAAGUUUCCUGAAACGCGUGAAGGUAAAUAAUCAGAAAAAGACGUCAAAGGGAGAGGUGUCUGAGUUCAACUGAAGCGCCAGCCUGCUCCACCCAGACAAGCACUUAGAACCAAUGGAGGGAGCCUGGGCUGCUGGAACCUAUUCCCUAUGAGUUCAUGGCAUAA
rnacentral:lncRNA from 1 species